rnacentral:lncRNA from 1 species
CUAUUAUAAAGAGAUGAUAGGGAAUGCCACAAAGAAUUUUGCUGACAUGGUGAUCUUAGAUGAAAUCAUUGAGAAUGGCAAGCUGAAAGGAGAAGAAAGCAAGAAGGCACCCAAAAAGAAAGAGACUGAAGUUCAAGCUGUAGGCUUUGACAGAUAGUUCAGGGGAUAUCAACCCUAUCUAUCUUUAGAUUGCUCUCCAUACUAUCUUACUGUGAAUAAUGCUUCAUCUUAUCCAUACCAAAUAGCCCCCACAACCACCUAAUUCAUCCAUAUAC